rnacentral:rRNA from 1 species
ACUCCUACGGGAGGCAGCAGUGGGGAAUCUUGGACAAUGGGCGGCAAGCCUGAUCCAGCCAUGCCGCGUGAGUGAUGAAGGCCUUAGGGUCGUAAAGCUCUUUCGCCUGUGAAGAUAAUGACGGUAGCAGGUAAAGAAACCCCGGCUAACUCCGUGCCAGCAGCCGCGGUAAUACGGAGGGGUUAGCGUUGUUCGGAAUUACUGGGCGUAAAGCGCGCGUAGGCGGACCAGAAAGUUGGGGUGAAAUCCCGGGGCUCAACCCCGGAACUGCCUCCAAAACUCCUGGUCUUGAGUUCGAGAGAGGUGAGUGGAAUUCCGAGUGUAGAGGUGAAAUUCGUAGAUAUUCGGAGGAACACCAGUGGCGAAAGGCGGCUCACUGGCUCGAUACUGACGCUGAGGUGCGAAAAGUGUGGGGAGCAAACAGGAUUAGAUACCCUGGUAGGACAGUG